rnacentral:siRNA from 1 species
GAAUUAUGGUUGAUCGUUCGGUA